rnacentral:rRNA from 1 species
GAUGAACGCUGGCGGCGUGCCUAAUACAUGCAAGUCGAGCGAACAGAUGAGGAGCUUGCUCCUCUGACGUUAGUGGCGGACGGGUGAGUAACACGUGGAUAACCUACCUAUAAGACUGGGAUAACUUCGGGAAACCGGAGCUAAUACCGGAUAAUAUAUUGAACCGCAUGGUUCAAUAGUGAAAGACGGUUUUGCUGUCACUUAUAGAUGGAUCCGCGCCGCAUUAGCUAGUUGGUAAGGUAACGGCUUACCAAGGCAACGAUGCGUAGCCGACCUGAGAGGGUGAUCGGCCACACUGGAACUGAGACACGGUCCAGACUCCUACGGGAGGCAGCAGUAGGGAAUCUUCCGCAAUGGGCGAAAGCCUGACGGAGCAACGCCGCGUGAGUGAUGAAGGUCUUCGGAUCGUAAAACUCUGUUAUUAGGGAAGAACAAAUGUGUAAGUAACUAUGCACGUCUUGACGGUACCUAAUCAGAAAGCCACGGCUAACUACGUG